rnacentral:lncRNA from 1 species
AAAAAUAACUGGAGAUUGGGACAUUGCAACCUUUCAGGGAGCUCUUGAAUAUCUCUCUGGGGUAAUGAAAUGGCAAUUGGAUCUUUCCGUAUUGUCUCUUCCAUCUUUUUCUCUAAGUCGGCAACAUUUGGAAUAUUAAACAUGCGCUUCUCUGCGGCAAUUGAUACGGCAACAACAUGAAUGACGUCAUGCAUUUUAGCUUCAUCUUCAGCAUCACCGUCCAACAAUAAGCAUGAAGAUUUGAGGUUGUCGAUCAACCGAUGCACUCUACUCCUUGCUUCUUCCAAUGUGUAAACAUUUUCAAACAAACCCCAACCCACACCAUAUCUCAAUAAGUCAGAAACUUGUAUGGCAUGACCUUCACUGUAUAGACCACAAAGACGGAACAGAGAUUUUGCCUCCUCACUUUCCAAGAAGUCAUGACUCAAUUUUAUGGAGGUGUACACAUUUGCUUGCAUGCCAUGAAUUUCUCUUGCAUCCGAUCUUCUUAGCUGAUUCAAUGCAUCUUUCCAAAAGUCACGCUCCUUAGUUUUCAGAGCAUUUGCAACUGUACUCAGUGCAACAGGCAAACCUCCGCAUCUUUCAAUUCUAGUAAGGCUUAAAACUUUGAGUUCUUUCGUCCCUUCAAAAAAGAGGUCUGAAAUUUGCAUUGAGCUAUAACGCUUUGAAAACAACAAAAGUAACUGGAGACGGGGACAUCCCAACCUUUCGGGAAGCUCUUGAAUAUCUCUCUGGGGUAAUGAAAUGGCAAUUGGAUCUUUCCGUAUUGUCUCUUCCAUCUUUUUCUCUAAGUCGGCAACAUUUGGAAUAUUAAACAUGCGCUUCUCUGCGGCAAUUGAUACGGCAACAACAUGAAUGACGUCAUGCAUUUUAACUUCAUCUUCAGCAUCACCGUCCAACAAUAAGCAUGAAGAUUUGAGGUUGUCGAUCAACCGAUGCACUCUACUCCUUGCUUCUUCCAAUGUGUAAACAUUUUCAAACAAACCCCAACCCACACCAUAUCUCAAUAAGUCAGAAACUUGUAUGGCAUGACCUUCACUGUAUAGACCACAAAGACGGAACAGAGAUUUUGCCUCCUCACUUUCCAAGAAGUCAUGACUCAAUUUUAUGGAGGUGUACACAUUUGCUUGCAUGCCAUGAAUUUCUCUUGCAUCCGAUCUUCUUAGCUGAUUCAAUGCAUCUUUCCAAAAGUCACGCUCCUUAGUUUUCAGAGCAUUUGCAACUGUACUCAGUGCAACAGGCAAACCUCCGCAUCUUUCAAUGAUCUCAUUUGCUAUACUUUGAAAAGCAGAUAUUUUAGUUGAAUCACCCACUAUCUUCUCAAAUAACUGCAAUGCUUCUUCUUUUGAUAAAGCAUCGAUCCAGAAAUUUUUCUGAGAAUUCAUAUCAAUGCACAAUAAAUCUCGACUUCUAGACGUCAAUAUUAUUGUGCAUCUUCUCUGAUCAUCCUCUCUAUCUUUCUCAUCAACAUCUCCAGAAGGAAUUCCAACCGCAUCUAACUCAAGUUUUGUCCAAAUAUUAUCCAAUAUAAUGAGGACCCGCUUCUCUUGCUUCAACCUUUCACGCAGUCGUAUAGCUUUGCAAUUCCACAGAGACCAAAUCCUGUGGUAGAAUUUCGGCAUCCCGAACGUGUAUCUCCAAAGUAGUUAGCUUUGACAACCCCUUCAACUCAACAAGACUGGCGUUACUUCCUCCUUCAACCUUCUCCCACUGUGAAAAGCUGUUACUCAUAUAUAGUUCUUCUAAUCGAGAUAAUUUUGAUAUGACAUUUGGAGCUAUCACCACAAGGCUGCUACAAUUGCUCAAAUCUAGCAACUGUAAUCUCGUCAAUUGUCCAAUUACAAGUGGCAACUCCUUAACAUCAGAAUCUCGAAGGCUGAGAAUCUCUAAUUUCUUUAGCUGUCCAACUAUUGCUAUAUCUUUUAGUCCGCAACCAUCUAAACAAAAUGUUUGAAGGUUAAUGAGGCGACCAAGUGAUGAAGGUAAUGAAGAGAAAGGAAUUCUAGUAAGACUUAACACUUUGAGUUCUUCUGUCCCUUCAAAAAAGAGGUCUGAAAUUUGCAUAGGGCCAUAACCCUUUCCAAACAACAAAAAUAACUGGAGAUUGGGACAUUGCAACCUUUCAGGGAGCUCUUGGAUAUCUCUAUGAGGCAAUGAAAUAGCAAUUGGUCCUUUCUGUUUCGUCUCUUCCAUCUUUUUCUCAACGUCAGCAACAUUUGGAAUAUUAAACAUGCGCUUCUCUGCGGCAAUUGAUACGGCAACAACAUGAAUGACGUCAUGCAUUUUAACUUCAUCUUCAGCAUCACCGUCCAACAAUAAGCAUGAAGAUUUGAGAUUGUCGAUCAACCGAUGCACUCUACUCCUUGCUUCUUCCAAUGUGUAAACAUUUUCAAACAAACCCCAACCCACGCCAUAUCUCAAUAAGUCAGAAACUUCUAUGGCAUCACCUUCACUGUACAGACCACAAAGACGGAACAAAGAUUUUGCCUCCGCACUUUCCAAGAAGUCAUAACUCAAUAUUAUGGAGGUGUACACAUUUGCUUGCAUGCCAUGAAUUUCUCUUGCAUCCGAUCUUCUUAGCUGAUUCAAUGCAUCUUUCCAAAAGUCAAGCUCCUUAGUUUUCAGAGCAUUUGCAACUGUACUCAGUGCAACAGGCAAACCUCCGCAUCUUUCAACGAUCUCAUUUGCCAUACUUUGAAAAGCAGAUAUUUUAGUUGAAUCACCCACUAUCUUCUCAAAUAACUGCAAUGCUUCUUCUUUUGAUAAAGCAUCGAUCCAGAAAUUUUUCUGAGAAUUCAUAUCAAUGCACAAUAAAUCUCGACUUCUAGACGUCAAUAUUAUUGUGCAUCUUCUCUGAUCAUC